rnacentral:rRNA from 1 species
UACGUAGGGUGCAAGCGUUAUCCGGAAUUAUUGGGCGUAAAGAGCUCGUAGGCGGUUUGUCGCGUCUGCUGUGAAAACCCGAGGCUCAACCUCGGGCCUGCAGUGGGUACGGGCAGACUAGAGUGUGGUAGGGGAGAUUGGAAUUCCUGGUGUAGCGGUGGAAUGCGCAGAUAUCAGGAGGAACACCGAUGGCGAAGGCAGAUCUCUGGGCCGUAACUGACGCUGAGGAGCGAAAGCGUGGGGAGCGAACAGG